rnacentral:rRNA from 1 species
UACGUAGGGUGCAAGCGUUAAUCGGAAUUACUGGGCGUAAAGCGUGCGCAGGCGGUUAUGCAAGUCAGACGUGAAAUCCCUCGGCUUAACCGGGGAACUGCGUCUGAUACUGGAUGGCUUGAGUUUGGGAGAGGGAUGCGGAAUUCCAGGUGUAGCGGUGAAAUGCGUAGAUAUCUGGAGGAACACCGGUGGCGAAGGCGGCAUCCUGGACCAACACUGACGCUGAGUGAGCGAAAGCCAGGGGAGCAAACGGG